UGCAGAAUCCCGUGAACCAUCGAGUCUUUGAACGCAAGUUGCGCCCUAAGCCAUUUGGCCGAGGGCACGUCUGCCUGGGCGUCAAUC
rnacentral:rRNA from 2 species